CCUAGCGACACCCACAAACACGGCCCUUUUCCUCGGACGGCGAACUCGCCAUCUCGGUUGAACUCGGUGGUGACCGAGCAAAAUUCCGAGACGGAAUUCAAGAUGGCUACGCCCAUUGUGACUUGAAGUAUGAACUGUUUUCAUUGUGCUUGGACCACUUUGGUGGUUUAAAUGCAGGCAUGCAAACUAGUCACCUUUCGGCGAAAUUUGCCGUUUUGAAGACAAAAUUGACCACUUGUGUGAUUCGUGGAGAUCCGUUGAGAAAACAUUUUGGGGGGGGGGGUCCUUGUAGCGCCUGCUAAUACAUUCUCAAUGGAGAGGCGAGCGGACAGAGAGAAGGCGCAGCAUUCUGUCAGGCGGCACGACAAGUGGGCGCACUCCCGUGGAACUGUCGCUUCCGUGCUCGUCGAACGCAUGCGCGCGCUCUUGAAGCCGCGUGGCCAACCGACAGCGCCAGCGGAAAGUCGCCUACCAUCUGAAACGGCCAAGCGUGAGCCCAGCGGAGCCUUUAAAUGCCUCACUAUGCAACUUUUUUAGCCAAAAUUACAUUAAUUAUGCUGGUUGAGAGUUAUCUGAUGGUUCUGCAAACAUUUCUGGGUCGUUUGGUGGGUGUGUCAUUGCCCCAUGUCACCUCUCCAAGGAAAAAGCGCACAUGCAACUUGCUCUGUUCGGACCGACACAAUCCGGAUGUGACGCAGCGGAAGUAUCCAAUCGCGCCUCGAAAAUGUAGUCAGAUUGUACUUUCAAAAAUGCUUUACGGCACAGACACACACCCAAACAUGGCACCGGCUAGAUAUAAACAGCCAGUUGCGAGGCAAUUGUUGCAUUCAUCAUGGAUCAAUCGACUGAUAAGGGACCCAAGAGGCGACUGUCGGUGGAACAAAAGAAGAAUGGACCAGAAAAGAGAUCAGACACGAGUGAAAUGGGAACUAUGCAACUUUUUUGGCUUGAUUUACCUUAAUAUAACAGGCUAAGAGUCAUUGCGAUGGUUCUAUUAUACAUUUUUGUUCGAUUGUUCGUUGUUUCGACUCCCCCUUGCGCAUCUUGGCGGAGAAAAGGAAUAUGUUUCUGCAGGCGACCCGCCGCCCACUCUCGCGGGAGUCUCGGGUCUCGCGAAGUAACAAAUUGCUUUACGGCACAGACCCCAAAACACGGAACCGGCUCGAUAUAAACACAAGUAACUAAGGGAUUGUUACAUUCAUCAUAGAUCAGCCGACUAAAAAGAGACAGAGAAACCCAAUGUUGGAGGAACAGAAGAAGAGAAAAGGGAGACUGACCGACAGAGAGGCCAGACACGAGUAAACGUUGGGCAAGCUUUUCAGGAAUAGCGUGAACCGAAAGAAAAAGAAGACUGCAAAUCAGACGCCGACUUGGCUGUGUUGCUUGAAAGUACCCUUGGGUGAACUUUGUCUUCGUGGUAUUCUUGAUUCUGAUAGUCUCUGUACAAAUGUGUUUGCUCAACAAUUUUGUUGUGAGCCCUGUAAAAAUUGUUUUCUCGACCGUUUUGUUGUGAGCCCUGUAUGUUUCUAGCUUGCUUGGUUGCAACCAUAUAAACACCUUUGUUUCCAUGGGUGUUUUGCUGUUCGUCUGUCCCCCAGAUACAGACUGAAUCCCCGAAUCCAGGUUCUUGUUUAUUUUGAUUAUUAUGUUGGCCAACACUCUUACACUGAUUGUUCUGUUCAACCUAAGAUAAAACAAUUAUAAUCUAGGAUAUAAAUUCUCCCCGUCAACUAUAAAAAAGGAUGGAUUUAUGUUUAUUGCAAUACAAAUACACCAUUUGAAAAAUGUAUAACCUUGCCUACACUUUAUGAACAUCUACUUCGGACAUGGCUCCACGCAUUCGCCGGCUUCUUUGAAAACAAAUGCACAUGGCUAGCGUAGAAGUGCAUGGGGAAGGGUCGUCAACGAGUUGUUACGACAGUGUUGUAAAAUAUCUUCU
rnacentral:lncRNA from 1 species